rnacentral:antisense_RNA from 1 species
UGUAGGAGUGAGCCUGCUCGCGAUAGCGGUGGGUCAGUCAGAACAUGAGUGACUGACACUCCCUCAUCGCGAGCAGGCUCACUCCUACA